GCCGGCCUGAGAGGGCGACCGGCCACACUGGGACUGAGACACGGCCAGACUCCUACGGGAGGCAGCAGUGGGGAAUAUUGGGCAAUGGGCGAAAGCCUGACGCAGCAACGCCGCGUGAGGGAUGACGGCCUUCGGGUUGUAAACCUCUUUCAGCAGGGAAGAAGCGAAAGUGACGGUACCUGCAGAAGAAGCACCGGCUAACUACGUGCCAGCAGCCGCGGUAAUACGUAGGGUGCAAGCGUUGUCCGGAUUUAUUGGGCGUAAAGAGCUCGUAGGCGGUUAGUCACGUCGGAUGUGAAAACUCGGAGCUUAACUCUGAACCUGCAUUCGAUACGGGCUGACUAGAGUGUUGUAGGGGAGACUGGAAUU
rnacentral:rRNA from 1 species